rnacentral:rRNA from 1 species
GAGUUUGAUCCUGGCUCAGGAUGAACGCUGGCGGCGUGCUUAACACAUGCAAGUCGAACGGGAAUUACUUUAUUGAAACUUCGGUCGAUUUAAUUUAAUUCUAGUGGCGGACGGGUGAGUAACGCGUGGGUAACCUGCCUUAUACAGGGGGAUAACAGUCAGAAAUGGCUGCUAAUACCGCAUAAGCGCACAGAGCUGCAUGGCUCAGUGUGAAAAACUCCGGUGGUAUAAGAUGGACCCGCGUUGGAUUAGCUUGUUGGUGGGGUAACGGCCCACCAAGGCGACGAUCCAUAGCCGGCCUGAGAGGGUGAACGGCCACAUUGGGACUGAGACACGGCCCAGACUCCUACGGGAGGCAGCAGUGGGGAAUAUUGCACAAUGGGGGAAACCCUGAUGCAGCGACGCCGCGUGAAGGAAGAAGUAUCUCGGUAUGUAAACUUCUAUCAGCAGGGAAGAUAGUGACGGUACCUGACUAAGAAGCCCCGGCUAACUACGUGCCAGCCGCCGCGGUAAUUC